rnacentral:rRNA from 1 species
AUUGAACGCUAGCGGCAGGCUUAACACAUGCAAGUCGAGCGAGCGGCGGACGGGUGAGUAAUGUGUGGGACACUGCCUGCUGGAGGGGGAUCACGAGUGAAAACGGUAGCUACUACCGCAUACGAUGAGAUGUCCCCAGAUGGGAUUAGCUAGUGGGUGGGGUAAUGGCUCACCUAGGCGACGAUCGCUAGCUGGUCUGAGAGGAUGACCAGCCACACUGGAACUGAGACACGGCCCAGACUCCUACGGGAGGCAGCAGUGGGGAAUAUUGCACAAUGGGCGCAAGCCUGAUGCAGCCACGCCGCGUGUGUGAAGAAGGCCUUUGGGUUGUAAAGCACUUUCAGCGAGGAGGCGUUACUCGCAGAAGAAGCACCGGCUAACUCCGUGCCAGCAGCCGCGGUAAUAC